UAGGGAAUCUUCCACAAUGGGCGAAAGCCUGAUGGAGCAACGCCGCGUGUGUGAUGAAGGGUUUCGGCUCGUAAAACACUGUUGUAAGAGAAGAAUGACAUUGAGAGUAACUGUUCAAUGUGUGACGGUAUCUUACCAGAAAGGAACGGCUAACUACGUGUCAG
rnacentral:rRNA from 1 species